UUCUGCCACCUCCAGUGCUGAGGGACCUUCUGUGCUGCACGUCCUUCUUCAGUCUUUUCUGGAUCCUCUUGCCAUUUGGGAGGUCCCCAAGAAGCUCCCUGGGCUCUUAUCUGCCGCUGGACUUUGUACACGCAAGGGGCUUUGAGCAACAGAAAUUCAGGGCCAUGAGGAGGAAGGUGGUUGGAAAGCUUCUGGCAGGAUUCAGCCUUCUAGUGAGGCCUUGAGCUCUCCUUAACACCCCUCCGACUGCCAACUUGGAGCUCUUAGAAGAGUGUCCCCUUCACACGACAUUUGCAAUGCAGUUAUCUACCUGCUUCCCAAUGACAGCAGUGCCUUGGAAUCUUUCUCUGAUUUGAUGCUUUGUGAAGAUGGAUGGCUGAAAUGCAGGGAGAGGACAGAAAGGAAGUCUAGGGAUCCUGGUAUACUCCCGAGCUGCUGGGUCUCAAACUGGGCCAGAUGUCCACAAGAAAGAGAAAAGAAAGCAACAAAUAUAUUGCAAGAUGACUACGGAAUGCUGGGAUCUUGGCUUCCACAGU